GUGGGGAAUCUUGCGCAAUGGGCGAAAGCCUGACGCAGCCAUGCCGCGUGAAUGAUGAAGGUCUUAGGAUUGUAAAAUUCUUUCACCGGGGACGAUAAUGACGGUACCCGGAGAAGAAGCCCCGGCUAACUUCGUGCCAGCAGCCGCGGUAAUACGAAGGGGGCUAGCGUUGCUCGGAAUUACUGGGCGUAAAGGGCGCGUAGGCGGACAGUUUAGUCAGAGGUGAAAGCCCAGGGCUCAACCUUGGAAUUGCCUUUGAUACUGGCUGUCUUGAGUACGGGAGAAGUGAGUGGAACUCCGAGUGUAGAGGUGAAAUUCGUGGAUAUUCGGAAGAACACCAGUGGCGAAGGCGACUCACUGGCCCGUUACUGACGCUGAGGCGCGAAAGCGUGGGGAGCAAACAGGAUUAGAUACCCCAGUAGUCC
rnacentral:rRNA from 1 species